rnacentral:rRNA from 1 species
GAUGAACGCUGGCGGCGUGCCUAAUACAUGCAAGUCGAGCGAACAGACGAGGAGCUUGCUCCUCUGACGUUAGCUGCUGACGGGUGAGUAACACGUGGAUAACCUACCUAUAAGACUGGGAUAACUUCGUGAAACCGUAGCUAAUACCGUAUAAUAUAUUGAACCUCAUGGUUCAAUACUUAAAGACGGUUUUGCUGUCACUUAUUUAUUGAUCCUCGCCGCAUUAGCUAGUUGGUAAGGUAACGGCUUACCACGGCAACGAUGCGUAGCCUACCUGAGAGGAUGAUAGGCAAAACUGGAACUGAAACACGGUACAGACUCCUACGGGAGGGAGAAGAAGGGAAUCUGCGGCAAUGGGCGAAAGACUGAAGGAGCAACGCAACGUGAGUGAUGAAGGAAUUCGGAUCGUAAAACUAUGUUAUUAGGGAAGAACAAAUGUGUAAGUAACUAUGAACGUAUUGACGGUACCAAAUCAGAAAGCAACGGCUAAAUAAGUG